rnacentral:rRNA from 1 species
ACGUAGGAGGCGAGCGUUAUCCGGAUUCACUGGGCGUAAAGCGCGUGCAGGCGGUUCGGUAAGUUGGGCGUGAAAUCUCCCGGCUCAACUGGGAGAGGUCGUUCAAUACUACCGGACUUGAGAGCGAUAGAGGAAAAUGGAAUUCCCGGUGUAGUGGUGAAAUGCGUAGAGAUCCGGAGGAACACCAGAGGCGAAGGCGACACCCUGGGCCGUACCUGACGCUAAGACGCGACAGCACGGGGAGCGAACGG